rnacentral:rRNA from 1 species
CCCUCAGAUGUUCUGGGCCGCACGCGUGCUACACUGAGUAAUUCAAUGGGUAAGGGAACGCUAGAGCAUUACCUAAUCUUGAAAUUUGCUCGUGAUGGGGAUCGACGGUUGCAAUUUUCCGUCGUGAACGAGGAAUACCUUGUAGGCGCAUGUCAUCAUCAUGCGCCGAAUACGUCCCUGCCCUUUGUACACACCGCCCGUCGCUCCUACCGAUUGAGUGAUCCGGUGAGGCUCUGGGACCUGGACGGAAAGAGCGCUUCGCUUGUUCUGUUUGGGAAACUUGGUCGAACCUUAUCAUUUAGAGGAAGGAGAAGUCGUAACA